rnacentral:tRNA from 1 species
GGAGGGGUGGCGGAGUGGUCGAUCGCGGCGGUCUUGAAAACCGCUGGGUCCUCACGGAUCCCGGGGGUUCGAAUCCCUCCCCCUCCGCCA